rnacentral:rRNA from 1 species
GAUGAACGCUGGCGGCGUGCCUAAUACAUGCAAGUCGAGCGAACGGACGAGAAGCUUGCUUCUCUGAUGUUAGCGGCGGACGGGUGAGUAACACGUGGAUAACCUACCUAUAAGACUGGGAUAACUUCGGGAAACCGGAGCUAAUACCGGAUAAUAUUUUGAACCGCAUGGUUCAAAAGUGAAAGACGGUCUUGCUGUCACUUAUAGAUGGAUCCGCGCUGCAUUAGCUAGUUGGUAAGGUAACGGCUUACCAAGGCAACGAUGCAUAGCCGACCUGAGAGGGUGAUCGGCCACACUGGAACUGAGACACGGUCCAGACUCCUACGGGAGGCAGCAGUAGGGAAUCUUCCGCAAUGGGCGAAAGCCUGACGGAGCAACGCCGCGUGAGUGAUGAAGGUCUUCGGAUCGUAAAACUCUGUUAUUGGGGAAGAACAUAUGUGUAAGUAACUGUGCACAUCUUGACGGUACCUAAUCAGAAAGCCACGGCUAACUACGUGCCAGCAGCCGCGGUAAUACGUAGGUGGCAAGCGUUAUCCGGAAUUAUUGGGCGUAAAGCGCGCGUAGGCGGUUUUUUAAGUCUGAUGUGAAAGCCCACGGCUCAACCGUGGAGGGUCAUUGGAAACUGGAAAACUUGAGUGCAGAAGAGGAAAGUGAAAUUCCAUGUGUAGCGGUGAAAUGCGCAGAGAUAUGGAGGAACACCAGUGGCGAAGGCGACUUUCUGGUCUGUAACUGACGCUGAUGUGCGAAAGCGUGGGGAUCAAACAGGAUUAGAUACCCUGGUAGUCCACGCCGUAAACGAUGAGUGCUAAGUGUUAGGGGGUUUCCGCCCCUUAGUGCUGCAGCUAACGCAUUAAGCACUCCGCCUGGGGAGUACGACCGCAAGGUUGAAACUCAAAGGAAUUGACGGGGACCCGCACAAGCGGUGGAGCAUGUGGUUUAAUUCGAAGCAACGCGAAGAACCUUACCAAAUCUUGACAUCCUUCGACAACUCUAGAGAUAGAGCCUUCCCCUUCGGGGGACAAAGUGACAGGUGGUGCAUGGUUGUCGUCAGCUCGUGUCAUGAGAUGUUGGGUUAAGUCCCGCAACGAGCGCAACCCUUAAGCUUAGUUGCCAUCAUUAAGUUGGGCACUCUAAGUUGACUGCCGGUGACAAACCGGAGGAAGGUGGGGAUGACGUCAAAUCAUCAUGCCCCUUAUGAUUUGGGCUACACACGUGCUACAAUGGACAAUACAAAGGGCAGCGAAACCGCGAGGUCAAGCAAAUCCCAUAAAGUUGUUCUCAGUUCGGAUUGUAGUCUGCAACUCGACUACAUGAAGCUGGAAUCGCUAGUAAUCGUAGAUCAGCAUGCUACGGUGAAUACGUUCCCGGGUCU